rnacentral:tRNA from 1 species
UCCGUUGUAGUUUAGUUGGUCAGGAUAUUCGCCUCUCACUCGUAAGACCCGGGUUCGAUUCCUGUCAAUGGAA